AAGUGGCUCUUUUACAUUUAUUUUUUAGACCAUUAUUUUAUGAUAACAUUGUUUACUUUGUGAUUUGUAUUGAAAUUUUAAUUGAUUGUUACCUUUAUAAGUUGAUGUCAUGUAAAGUUAAACUAUGUAGUAGAAAAUUCAUAACAGUGAGCAUGUUUUAUCAAUGAGAUAAUUCUUUUAGGAUAUCCUAUCCAAGGAUAUAGAUAAAUGUAAGGAGUGUGCUUGCAUAGCAAAAUAAAAACAGUUUAAAAUCAUUGGACAAAAUCAACUAUCUAAACAACACACUAAUCAAUAAAUGAGAAUAUUGAUAAGAAACAAUCGAAAUGAGUGGUGCCUACCUGAAAUCCAAGCUGAGGUUUCUCUGGUGGAUAGUACUCUUUCCAUUGCGGGAGUCUGACCGACUUCCGUGCACGGGAACAUCCUCCAACAUGCUCACACACUGGUUGCCGCGUCACAACACUUUACCCAUAUCACAAAUGCCCAGCAUGAAAUCACAAGGUAAAUAACAACAUGGCGACCUCACAACAACUGUUCUACAAUUUACGAAUUUACUAUGAAAGUUAAGAAAUAUUAAGGCGGUACUGAUGUUUCAAAAACGAUACUACCUUAUCACAGCCUUCACAAUAUUGUAAAUUUACAACUACCAAUAACGUUGUUGCAACUUGUUUUUAUGGUCCUACAAUAUUAAUUUUAAUUUUUUAAUAUUGUAAAGUAUAACACAAUAAUUUUAAAUAUAAAUUCUACAUAUAAUAAUCUCGAAAUAAAAUAAACUCCAAUAUUUUCUAAACAAACAGAUCUCUAAAAAUUAAAGAAAUCGAUGACUUUCCCAGUAAGAGGAUACCAUAUUUUUACCGAUUUUUUUCUUGUCAACAAAGCAGUGAGCUACCCAGUUUCACAAAUCGUCAAGAUUAGUAGAAAUUAGUAGAAAAAAAAGGAGUUUGUAUAGUAGAAAGCGUUAUAGCUCUUCAUUUUCUACAUCGAAAUAAAUGUAACAGUUUGGUAAAACGUGUUUAAUUAAAGUGUAUUUUUAUCUAACGAUUUUUUUUUACUAUUCGGUACACAUUUCAUAGUUACCAAUUAAUAAACAGUUUAUUUAAAUUGCAUA